GUUUCUGGGAAGAAAGGAGCAGGCUCUUGAAGAGAAGGAGGUGCAGUCCCAACCCAUCAAAAUAGACCUUUGCUGGAACUGCUGGAAGUGUUUUUCUGCGCUUGGGUCAAGACGCACGCCCUGCUGCGGCAGUGCCCUGCAACACCUCUUUCGCCCCUGCACCCCAGUCCACAUGGGGUGGGAACAGGGCAGUUGCAACCAAAUGGAGCAGAGCCGGGUGCCAGGCACGUCCCAGACCUCGGAGACUGGGACCUUCAUGCCUACUGCAGGGUGUGCUAUCACUGGUUUUCAGUGGAGUCAGCUUGUACUGCAGAUGUGAAGAAUCCCUUCCUACUUUCUGAAAAAGAGGCACUACUUAGGACCAAGGUACUUUAACAUUGCUAAUAUCAGUAAGAUACUUGUUACUUUGCCAGGAGAUAUCAGCACAGAAGGUCUGAAACUGAGCACAGGAGAAAAAAGAAAAAAC
rnacentral:lncRNA from 1 species